rnacentral:misc_RNA from 1 species
CGACCAUCGCCAUAUUCACUCGGUCUCUCAGUCUCUCGGCCUCGUGCCUUUGACGGAAUCUUUCCCAUCGCACCUUCUCCAAGCCAGUAACUCUAAUCUUCUUCCGGUCGCCUUGCCCCUUAAUCUCGAUUCACUGGCAGCUGCUGCUCAGCUGCUCCGUCCUCUCUAGCAGAAUUGCAGAGGAACUCUGUUUUUCAUAUAAAUGGCCCAAAUACGCAGCCUCUAUGCUAGAGCAAGCCUUGUUAGACGAAGAUACCACCCAUCAUUUAGCUAUAUUCUUCAUGAUGAUGAUCACAAACAUAACUGCAUUGAUGAAGGUCCAUCUCAGCAAGGGAUGAGUAAUUUUUUACAACAGAGGGCAUUUGGAAGUGGCUUUAGUAAUUCAUCUGCAUUUGGUUUCUUUCAAGAUAGAAGAUGCAUGGAUUUUUCUCUUUCACCAAGCAUUGGGGCCUCUUUUUGCCGGUAUAUGUCAACGACAGUUGGUGAAGGGUCAGACAAGAUUGAGCUGAUGAGUGAUGUUACUGAUGUUCUCACGGACACUACUGUCCAAGCUGUUGCCAUGCAGGCCCCCGCUGUGAAUGAAGUUGCUGUUGCUGCUGCUGAUUCUUUCUUCCCUAUUCAAGUCCUUCAGCAUUUUAUUGAUGCAGUGCAUUCUUUUACUGGUUUGAACUGGUGGGCUUCCUUAAUUUUAACUACUCUUUUGAUUAGAGGGGCAACACUUCCACUUGUGAUAAAUCAGCUGAAAGCCACUUCAAAACUCACUCUCUUGAGGCCACAUUUGGAGGAGAUUAAGCAACAGGUGCAAGAUAAGGGUAUGGACCCCACAGCCGUUGCUGAGGGCCAAAAACAAAUGCAGAUGCUUUUCAAGGAAUAUGGUGUGAGUCCUUUUACUCCACUGAAGGGGCUUUUCAUUCAAGGUCCCAUCUUUAUCUCCUUUUUUCUGGCGAUCUCAAACAUGGCAGAAAAAGUGCCGUCCUUUAAAAGUGGUGGAGCUUAUUGGUUUGUUGAUUUGUCAACACCAGAUAGUCUGUACAUCUUUCCACUUUUGACAGCAUUGUCUUUCUUGAUAACAGUGGAGUGCAAUAUGCAAGAAGGUAUGGAAGGAAAUCCUGCUGCUGGCACCAUGAAAAAUGUAUCUAGGGUCCUUGCUGUUGUUUCAGUUCCAUUGACCAUGGGUUUCCCCAAGGCUAUAUUUUGUUAUUGGAUAACAUCCAACUUGUUCUCGCUUGGUUGGGGCCUAGUGCUUAAGCUUCCUGGGGUAAAGAAGUCCUUAGGUGUUCCUAAAAUACCUGCGACUCCUGCAAGUACUGCAUCGCAGUCUUCCUUCAAUCUUUCUUCAGUGCUCAAACAAGCUAUGGCAGCAAGACAGGAACCUGCCUCAUCAUCACCUGUUGAAUCAUCUUCCAAGAUUUCAGAUCAGAAAAUAUCAUCAUCUUCAGUUAUUAGCCAGAGGCUUAGAAGUCUAGAAAAACAAGUAAAGGGAAGAAAGAAAAACAAGAAAAGGUAAGAGGAGUUUCCAUUUUGGCAGUUAAACUUUUGUGAAACCAGAAAUGAGGUUUAAGUGCUAUUAUAAUGAAUGUAGUAUUAGUCAUAUUAUUUUUUCCAAGGUAAGAAAGAAAA